rnacentral:lncRNA from 1 species
CCUUUUCCAGUCCAGAAUUCCAGCUGGUGGUAUUCUCCCUCUUCAAAUAAACCUUGCAAAAUAAGAGAGAAAAGGAAUAAGUAUGGUACCACAAGGUAAUAUAACAACCCAUAAAGCGAUAAAUAUCAACAUGAAAGCAUGAUGCAAAAUGGACGUAUCAGAGCCGCCAACCGUGACUAUAGGCCUGGGUUUCCCGCCCUUUGGGGUGGUGAAAUUCACAUUUAGUCUUGGUUGGUGGCUCGGACCGGGACUAAAGGCGGGGGGGGGGCUUUAGUCCUGGUUGGAUCCACCAACCAGGACUAAAGGUUGGGUUAUAUAAACUCCCACGACCCUCCCCACCAAUCUUCCUCUCCACUCCCGCGACGCCGAACACACAUAGGAGGACGCCGCCAAGCUGCCGGAUCGAAGGACAUCGUCGUCGUCUCCAUUCCCCCCAACUAUGACACCGUCAUCGCUGCUCCUCCCAUCUAUGACCCCGACGCUGCCAUCGCUGCUCCUCUCGUCUCCGACCCCGACACCGCCGUCGCCCCUCCUUCCCCCGACCCUGCCACUCCAUCGACCCCGACGCCACCGGCCGGCCACCUCCAUCGACUUUGCUGCCUCCUCUAACGGUGUGCCUCUGCCUCCCCCUCUCCGUUCGCCCCCUCGUUGCGCCUGCACCCGCACAGAUGCCCGAGCGCCGGCGGUUCCUCCCACCACCGCCAUCUGUGCUUGCCGCCCCGACUCUCCGUGCCACCCCUCGAUCCGCUGCCGUGCAUGGGUCUAGGUGUGGCAUGUCUCCCGUGACUUGCAACCCACCAUUGCCGGAAGAGAGGGAGAGAGAAAGAGAGAGAUCUUAUCAGAGAGAGAGGAGCAUACAUCAACGGCGCUGGCCUGAUCGCCGACAGCGCAAGAUGCGAUGAGAUGUUACGACGCUACAAAUAAAAUAUGUAAGGGAGUUCUAUUUGCCAAUUUUGAAGACGAAAAAAAAUUAUGGUUCAUUUAUCGACCAAUUCACAAUUUGCUAGACUACUCCAUCUUGAGAAAACUUAUUUACAUUUGGGAUAAAAGACAUUUAUGCACUAAUUUAUAUAAGCCUUGAAAACCUGGUGCCACUGAUAGAUUGGUUUGGUGGUUGGUCUCAAGAUGAAUUAUAGAAGAACUCGAUAUAUAUAAUGUUAACUCAUUUCAACUGUUUUGCCUUUUCCCCUGAAACUUUGCAACUGUGACUGCUGCAGUGUUUGUUGAUCUUAAUGUAAGACCAGGAGAUGAAGUGCUUUGCUUAUGAGAUUGUGUUAUAUUAUACCUCUUAAAGGAUGAGAUAUUUUUGGUUGCGCGCUUAUAGAUAACUACUUGGUAGCACUCAAACCGGAUGUUGAAGCAAUUUUGAUUGGCAAAUAAUUUAUGCACCACAACAUCAGUGGAAAAACUCCUCUCACAUGUUUGCUAUUUCAUGCAGUCUUUUCCUUUUAUUUGUGCAGGAACUUAUCAACAUAUACUUCCUUCCCAUUUGCAAUCUGUGGACCAUCACUCUGUGAAGUACUAACAUCGAUGCACUUUUCUAUAUAUUCUAUUGUGACUACCAUACUCAAUCGCUAAGCCAACGAGGUUAAGAGUUUGCCUUGCAUUUUGCCUUUUCUUCUUGUGCUCUUAAGAACAAAUGCCAGUUUUUAUCCUCCUGUCAUGGCCCUGUUAAGUACAUUUACAUUUGUAUAAAAUUUCACACAUAUAUAUGUUAGGAUUCAUAAUAGCAUUCUAGGCAACGGUUUGGAACAUGCGAUGCUCAAUAUUUUUGAUGUUAUUGAUGCCAUGCAUCAUGAUGUAAAUAUUCAAAAUGAACUAUAUUUUUAUAUCAUGUCAUUGAAGGUAUUAAUGAUUUAUCUAUUUUUAAAUGUUUGAUCGAUGUUAUUGGUACAACAAAUAAGUUUGUUGGUCAUUUUGUGAUUCGAAGUUUCUUGAGUCAAACAAGAAGUUUUUAUUAGAGAUUCCAUUUAGGCAGGGAAGCAAUUGCAACAUCAAUCAUCACCAAAAAUAUUGGACUAUGUUUAGCAAGAAUUUUCAUAGUACGCAAGGAUUGGACUAUAUAUGUUUAGCAAGAAAUUUCACAGCAGCAACAAUUCUAAUUAAAACGAGUCUCCAUCGUUCCUUCUCCCUUGCAAUCUCUUGUUGCAAAUCUUUAUCAAUUGUUUCCUUGGUACUUAGCCUCAGCCUUACCUCAUUCCAAGUAUUCAUGUUAGUGGUAUGCUCAACACUAUUCUCAUGCAAUUUGAGCUUCUCACUAAGAUGUCUCCAAUCCUUCAAUCCCUCGGAUGCAUAUAAAAUAACUUCCAAGUGAUUGUAGAAACUAUGGAUCCGGAACACGCCAGAGAAAACCUGUUGGAGAAAAUAAUCUGCGAUUGAGAUGAUGAUAUCACCACACAAUUUCUGAACGACUCCGGUGAGGGACUUGACGUCUCCGAUGAGCGAAUGGAGCGAGAAGAUGACAAAUCCGGUGUUAGAAUCGUAAUUACUACAAAGUCCGGCGAGGUAUAUUAAUUAAGCCUCUGCUCACUAGAUGCAUUAAUUGAUUUGUAUAUACAUAUAUUAACGCUUAUUUUCUCUUUUAACCCUCUGGAUCAAGAAAAUCUUCGAUAUAGAAAUGAGGCCCGAAAAAAAGGUUGGGCGAUAAUGAAAGUUUCAGCAUCGAAGAAGUCCAUGCACAUGGCCAACCGACUGCUCCCAAGCGGAGCGCAGAUGCAUUUCGAAGUUAGUGCGGAGUUGUUAUUAGGGACAAAAUCUCGAUCUCCAUUCAAGAAUGGAAUAAGCGAAAGGCGUACGAUGUUACUUAUGUCAAUGAUAUAUCCAAAGGAAUGCUCUAGAAUACCCUCAUGACAUAUUUCACCCUACCGCAAGAGGUGGAUCAAAAUAACCCAGUUAUAUAAUGAAAAGACAAGUCAUGGGCUCUUAAGAAGAUGGCCCAACAAUUCUGCAACUGGAAGAAACGAUUGAACCAAGACUAUGUCGAGAAAGGCAAGACACCAGCACCAGAGCACUUGAGAAGUUAAAAGAUCAUUGGGAUGUAUUUGUGGAGUUCGAGAAAUUGAAUGAAGCUAAGAAAAGGUUAGAAAUAAAUAAGAGAAAUGCUGUGAAGAAAGACUAUCACCAUGUUACGGGGUCAGGUGGCUACAAGGUUGCCACGCCUAAGUGGGAGAAAACGGAGGACGAGUCAUACGUCUCCAUCGUAUCUACUUUUCCAAACUCUUUUGCCCUUGUUUUGGACUCUAAUUUGCAUGAUUUGAAUGGAACUAACCCGGACUGACGCUGUUUUCAGCAGAAUUGCCUUGGUGUUGUUUUUGUGCAGAAAUGAAAGUUCUCGGAACAUCCUGAAAAUUUACGGAGAAUAUUUCUGGAAAAUAUGAAAAAUACCUGCGCAAAGAUCCACCGGAGGGGACGGUCCAGUGGGCCACAAGCCCUGUAGCCGCCCCCUUGGCCGCGACUACCAAGCUUGUGGGGCCCACGUGGCUCUGCCGCCCCCAAUUCCAGCGAUAUUUAUUCCCUUUCGUCCCGGAAAAAAUCAAGAGAGAAGAUUUCAUCGCGUUUCACGAUCCAGAGGCGCCGCCACAUCCCGUUGUUGUCCUGGAGGGCAGAUCUGGAGUUCGUUUUGGGCUCCGCAUUAAGGAGAUCGUCGCCAUCAUCAUCAUCAACCUUCUUCCCUCUCCAAUUCCAUGAAGCUCUUCAUCGUUCGUGAGUAAUCUAUUCGUAGGCUCGCUGGGCGGUGAUGAGUAGGAUGAGAUCUAUCAUGUAAUCGAGUUAGUGUUGACGGGGAUUGAUCCCUAGUAUCCACUAUGUUCUGAGAUUGAUGUUGCUACUACUUUGCCGUGCUUAAUGCUUGUCACUAGGGCCCGAGUGCCAUGCUUUCAGAUCUGAAAUUAUUAUGUUGUCACCAAUAUAUGUGUGUUUUAGAUCCGAUCUUGCAAGUUGUAGUUACCUACUAUGUGUUAUCAUGUAAUCUCCGUUUGGAGCGGUGUGGAGGCACAAUGCUCCGCAAGAUGUCACUAAGGCCACCGUAAUCUCCUCACGCCCUCGCACAACGGAAGAUGUUGUGAUUCCAUUAAGGGACCCUUGAGGGCGGUCACCAAACCCGUACAAACAAGGUUGGGACAAUCUUCACAACUUAAUUGGAGGCUCCGAACAACAGCACGAAGCUUCACCAAAAUGGAGUAUGACUUCGAGGUAUCCUCAAAUGCUCGGGGCAAUCUUCACAACCUAAUUAGAGACCCUGACGCUCGCCCGGAGCUUUACACCACAAUGAUUGAGCUCCAAGCCACCACCAAGCUUCUAGGACGCCAAAGCACCCAAGAAGAACAAGCUCUAAGGUACCAAGCACCCAAGAGUAAUAAGCUUCUCAACUUUCCACUUCCACGUAUCACCGUGGAGAACUCAAACCGGUGCAACUAAUGCAAUGGCAAGAACACACGAAGUGGUCAAGUCCCUUACACUCAAAUGCCUCCACAACAACAAAAGCUAUGGAGUAAUAUGAGAGGAAGAACAAGGAGCUCACAAAGAACUCCAAGAUCAAGAUCCAAGGGGUUCCCCUCACAUAGAGAAGAAAGUGAUUGGUGGAGAUGUGGAUCUAGAUAUCCUCUCUAUUUUCCCUCAAGAACUAGCAAGAAUGAUUGGAGGGGUUGAGAGUUGGCAAGCUCAAAGAAGAUCAACUAUGGGGGAAGAAUGCGAGAUUAACUGAUAGAAAACCUUUAGGGAAGAAGAUCCCCUUUUAUAGGCCUCCCCAAAUCGAACCGUUAUGCACUCACUCAGUGCACAAGUGGUACUACCGCUCAGGCGAGCGGUACUUCCGCUGGAACGGAAGUUUCAAGAAAACUGCGCAAACGACAAAGGUCUCGGGGUGGUAGUGCUGCCAGAGCGGUACUACCGUUCGCCCGAGCGGUACUACCGUUGGAGCGGUACUACCCCCUCCCCCCCCAGCGGUACUACCGCUCAAAAUGGAAAAAGACCCCGCAGAUGCCAGAAGAAAAAUAUAAGCGGAAGAGAGGCCGGUAGGGGAGGGCGGCAGUACCGCCACAGCGGUACUACCACUCUGCCCCAUCGGUACUUCUGCUUGAGAGUGAAAGCGUGCCGUGAACUGACAUAACUUUCGCAUACGAGCUCCGAAUUGAGAAAACUCAAGCUUGUUGGAUUCACGACGACAAGAGCUAUCCAACAGCUAAGAAGAGGUUGUUAAGAAAAAUGCUAAUGAUAUAGAGAUGUGAAACCUCUAUGAAUGAAGAACUAGCAAAAACUCCAACACCGAAAACAUCAUAGAAGAUGCACAUGAACUCCGUUUUUGAUGAACUCGAGAUUGUCAUAAAGAUGACAUAAGCUCUAAAACUCAGAAAGAGAACCACCAAACAAGAACCAAGAAAGAUGAUGCAAGGAUGCAAAUGGUUUGAGCUCUCAACGAACGAUACGAUCAGUCUACUUACUUGAGAUCCCCCUUGACAGUACGACAAUCUAUCCUAAAAUAGAAAACCUAUCAAGGACAAACCUAUACCUUGCACACAUUCCACUUGAGCUAGAUGAUGACGAUCUUGACUUCCUCAAGAUGGACCACCUUUCUUGAUUGCGCUGGUUCGAUGAAGACUUGUAAAUUGCUUCCCCAUACUCCACUAUGGGUGAGCCACUCUUCAGCACGUCUUCACUAGUCCAUUGCCACCACAAUGGACGACAAGCUUCAAACAUGAUAUCUUCAUGAUGCUCCACUUGAACUUGUACGCCGCAAUCUUGAUGACGAUCACCACUUGACAUAACCUCCAUGGGUUGUAUGAGAUCUUUCUCUUGACGCAAGCCCAUGGAAACAUAACUAAC